GAUGUGUAGGAUAGGUGGGAGGCUUUGAAGCGUGGACGCCAGUCUGCGUGGAGCCGACCUUGAAAUACCACCCUUUAAUGUUUGAUGUUCUAACGUGGACCCGUAAUCCGGGUUGCGGACAGUGUCUGGUGGGUAGUUUGACUGGGGCGGUCUCCUCCUAAAGAGUAACGGAGGAGCACGAAGGUUGGCUAAUCCUGGUCGGACAUCAGGAGGUUAGUGCAAUGGCAUAAGCCAGCUUGACUGCGAGCGUGACGGCGCGAGCAGGUGCGAAAGCAGGUCAUAGUGAUCCGGUGGUUCUGAAUGGAAGGGCCAUCGCUCAACGGAUAAAAGGUACUCCGGGGAUAACAGGCUGAUACCGCCCAAGAGUUCAUAUCGACGGCGGUGUUUGGCACCUCGAUGUCGGCUCAUCACAUCCUGGGGCUGAAGUAGGUCCCAAGGGUAUGGCUGUUCGCCAUUUAAAGUGGUACGCGAGCUGGGUUUAGAACGUCGUGAGACAGUUCGGUCCCUAUCUGCCGUGGGCGCUGGAGAACUGAGGGGGGCUGCUCCUAGUACGAGAGGACCGGAGUGGACGCAUCACUGGUGUUCGGGUUGUCAUGCCAAUGGCACUGCCCGGUAGCUAAAUGCGGAAGAGAUAAGUGCUGAAAGCAUCUAAGCACGAAACUUGCCCCGAGAUGAGUUCUCCCUGAGACUUAGAGUCUCCUGAAGGAACGUUGAAGACGACGACGUUGAUAGGCCGGGUGUGUAAGCGCAGCGAUGCGUUGAGCUAACCGGUACUAAUGAACCGUGAGGCUUAACCUUAC
rnacentral:rRNA from 1 species